rnacentral:rRNA from 1 species
CACGGGGGGAGCGAACGUUGUUCGGAAUCACUGGGCGUAAAGGGCUCGUAGGUGGCCAACUAAGUCAGACGUGAAAUCCCUCGGCUUAACCGGGGAACUGCGUCUGAUACUGGAUGGCUGGAGUAUGGGAGAGGGAUGCGGAAUUCCAGGUGUAGCGGUGAAAUGCGUAGAUAUCUGGAGGAACACCGGUGGCGAAGGCGGCAUCCUGGACCAUUACUGACGCUGAGGAGCGAAAGCCAGGGGAGCAAACGGG